GGCUGACCUCUGCGGAGGCGGCGGGGGCCCAGCAUCGGGCCGGGGCCGGGGGGGCGCCGGGGCCGGGGGGCGGCGCUCCGGCCCGGCCCGGCCCCGCCCGAUGUCCAUGAGCGCGAACACCAUGAUCUUCAUGAUUCUGGGGGCGUCGAUCGUGAUGGCCAUCGCGUGCUUGAUGGACAUGAACGCACUGCUGGACCGAUUCCACAACUACAUCCUCCCGCACCUGCGGGGCGAGGACCGCGUCUGCCACUGCAACUGUGGCCGGCACCACAUCCACUACGUAAUCCCUUACGACGGGGACCAGUCGGUGGUGGACGCCUCCGAGAACUACUUCGUGACAGACAACGUCACCAAGCAGGAGAUCGACCUCAUGCUGGGGCUGCUGCUCGGCUUCUGCAUCAGCUGGUUCCUGGUGUGGAUGGACGGCGUCCUGCACUGCGCCGUGCGCGCCUGGAGGGCCGGCCGGCGCUACGACGGCUCGUGGACCUGGCUGCCCAAGUUGUGCAGUCUGCGGGAGCUGGGCCGGCGGCCGCACAGGCCCUUCGAGGAGGCGGCCGGCAACAUGGUGCACGUGAAGCAGAAACUCUACCACAACGGCCACCCGAGCCCGCGGCACCUCUGAGCCGCGCGCAGGACUCGCGGGGCCUUCGGCCAACGCGCCCACGCACACGGGACUGGACGGCCGCCCCGGGCCAGGGCGCCCGCCGGGCGUGUCCAGCGGAAGAAGCAACGUGGGCUUCAGGGAACAAGUCCAGCCUGCAAGGAGGGGGAGGUGUGCAGGACAAGCCCCACGAGCACCCUGAGCCAGAGGGCACACCAGCAAGGCCACCACACCCCUCCCAGACGCCGAGGCCCGAAGCACCCUGGUUCACUCUCCUCUCCCAUGAGCACGACAGGACUCCCGGACACAUGCUGGGCUGGGCUCACCAGUCAAUGACCGGACGCGCUCUGGUGAAGUACCAGAUCCCCCGGGGAGGGCACCCUGUGGGCUUCAGCACCUACUCACUGCCUCCUGCAGCGGUCAGGGGUCAGACCGGAGGUCUCCCCGGUUCUCCAUCCACCAGGCUCGCAGACCUGUCACCUCACGUGGGCAGGUGACAUGUGACGUAAAGAGAAGGGAGGUGUGCGGGUUCUUGGUGGAAACACCGGGCAUGGACUGCAGGGCACGGUUUGCAGUCAGGGACAGACGCGUCCCACGUUCAUACGGUGAAGCCCUGACCCCCAGAGCAGCUGUAGUUAGAGGUGGGCCCUCUAAGGAAGUAGGCAACGUCAGAGGAGGCCGUAGGGGCGGGGCCCUGAUUCUACAGGACCAGCAGCCUCAUGCGACAGAUCUCUGUUUCUGCCACAGGAGGAGGAAACCGCGAGAAAACAAGCGUCUGAAAGGCAGAAAGGGGGCUGCCAUCAGAACUCCGCCACACUGGCACCCUCGUCCGGGCCUUCCUGCCUUCCAGACCUUGAGAAAUACACGUCUGUGUUUAAGCCCUCUGGGCUGUGGCACCGUCACAGCAGCCGAAGCUGACAGACAUCCUAUCCUCCACUCUGUCGGUUGUGGAAACGGAGCCACCCUCGUCAGGCCUGGGUCCUGAGUGAGGACGGCUGGAGCAGAACGCCUGGCUGCCCGAUCACACGUAGGAGCAGAGCCUACAGUCUGGAGCUGGGCGUAACCCGGCUCAUCCUAAUACAGGUUCCUGUGUAUCCAAGCUGCUAGGUUCAAGUUGCAGUAGAUGUCUAUUUAAUUAACAUAACACACAUCCAUUUAAAAGCACUGUCACAUUUCUAGCGAUCAGACUGUCACGCAGCCUCAGUCAGAUUUGACUGCGGGCCCCAUGGAGGCAGUGAUGGCGGCACAAGGCCAAGGGCGGCUGCAGACAGGAGCCACUGAGCACCCUGCACCCGAUAAAGCUUUUCUCCUCCGCCAUCACCAAGCUGCAAAUGCCUUCUAGACGGCUGCACCCAGGACCCCUGGGGUCAAAUGGCUUCCCUGUCCUGGGCGGGGGCGGGGGGGGCACUUCAGAGGAGGAAGCGGGUAUUGGGUAAUGCCAAGAACCACUCUGGGCUGUGUGCCCUGGGUCACAGCACAGCACAAGGCUAAAGUCAACUCACAUUCUCUACGCUGCCCUCGAGACCCCACAGCAAACCCGAGCGGACAACAUCCUCAACACCAGCAGUCUCCAUCUGGCACAGUGCUGGCAACCCUUAUCAGGUCAGAUUCACACCCUGGCUCAUCGCACACGCCCUGCGAUGAGCUCACAGACCACUUACGGGAAGUUCCAGAUGCCCCCGCGGUCUCCCCAACCUUCUGUAGAGUCACCUGCCCCAAACGUGCUAGGCUUGAGACCACGUCCCAACUCCAGUGGUGCCUGAGCCUGAGUCUGUGGGGCCUUGAUGCCGAUGUGACACUUGGCUCAUUUCCAGGGAACCCCAACUGAUUUCAGAGCCCUAUCUGAUUUGGACCAAAACCACAAUGACGAUAAGGUAGGCCAUAAUGUGGGAAGCCAGGGACACCUCUCCACACGCUCCCUGCAGUGGGGGCAGAAGCAGGUGGUGGCGGGAAGUAGAGCAGGGCGUGACAUCUGUGUGCAGAAAAUCCUUCAACAGAAGCACCCUAGGGGGGCAGGGGCCUGCACGGGCUGCCUUCAGGUGACUCAGUGUCUCCCAACCGGUUGGGCUCACGCCUGCAGGGUGCGUGUCCCCAACUCACCUG